rnacentral:rRNA from 1 species
UCGGGAAUUUUGGGCAAUGGGCGAAAGCCUGACCCAGCAACGCCGCGUGAAGGAUGAAGUAUUUCGGUAUGUAAACUUCGAAAGAAUAGGAAGAAUAAAUGACGGUACUAUUUAUAAGGUCCGGCUAACUACGUGCCAGCAGCCGCGGUAAUACGUAGGGACCAAGCGUUGUUCGGAUUUACUGGGCGUAAAGGGCGCGUAGGCGGCAAUUCAAGUCAUCUGUGAAAUCUCCGGGCUUAACUCGGAACGGUCAGAUGAUACUGCUUUGCUAGAGUGCAGAAGGGGCAAUCGGAAUUCUUGGUGUAGCGGUGAAAUGCGUAGAGAUCGGGAGGAACAUCCGUGGCGAAGGCGGCUCUCUGGACCAGCACUGACGUUGAGGCACGAAAGCGUGGGGGAGACAAACG